rnacentral:rRNA from 1 species
CCUACGCGUGGCAGCAGUGAGGAAUAUUGGUCAAUGGGCGCGAGCCUGAACCAGCCAAGUCGCGUGAGGGAGGACGGCCCUACGGGUUGUAAACCUCUUUUGCCGGGGAGCAACGGGCGCCACGUGUGGCGUCCCUGAGAGUACCCGGAGAAAAAGCAUCGGCUAACUCCGUGCCAGCAGCCGGGGUAAUACGGAGGAUGCGAGCGUUCUCCCGAUUUAUUGGGUUUAAAGGGUUCGUAGGCGGGUCGUUAAGUCAGUGGUCAAAUUGCGGGGAUCAACCCCUUCCCGCCAUUGAAACUGGCGGUCUGGAGUGGGAGAGAAGGAUGCGGAAUGCGUGGUG